rnacentral:rRNA from 1 species
GAUGAACGCUGGCGGCGUGCUUAACACAUGCAAGUCGAACGGAAAGGCCCAAGCUUGCUUGGGUACUCGAGUGGCGAACGGGUGAGUAACACGUGGGUGAUCUGCCCUGCACUUCGGGAUAAGCCUGGGAAACUGGGUCUAAUACCGGAUAGGACCACUUCUUGGAUGUUGUGGUGGAAAGUUUUGUGGGUGUGGGAUGAGCUCGCGGCCUAUCCGCUUGUUGGUGGGGUAAUGGCCUACCAAGGCGUCGCCGGGUAGCCGGCCUGUGGGGGUGUACGGCCACAUUGAGACUGAGGGACGGCCCAGACUCCGACGGGAGGCAGCAGGGGGGAAUAUUGAACAAGGGGCGCAAGCCUGAUGAAGCGGCGCCGCGUGGGGGAUGACGGCCUUCGGGUUGUAAAAUAAUUUCGCUAGGGACGAAGCGUUUUGUGACGGUACCUGGAGAAGAAGCACCGGCUAACUACGUG